rnacentral:rRNA from 1 species
AUUACCGAGUUUACAACUCCCAAACCCCAUGUGAACAUACCUGUUUCGUUCCCUCGGCGGUGUCCGGCAACGGCCCGCCAGAGGACCCAACAAACUCUUUUGAAUUUUUCAGUAUCUUCUGAGUAAAAAAUACAAUAAAUCAAAACUUUCAACAACGGAUCUCUUGGUUCUGGCAUCGAUGAAGAACGCAGCGAAAUGCGAUAAGUAAUGUGAAUUGCAGAAUUCAGUGAAUCAUCGAAUCUUUGAACGCACAUUGCGCCCGCCAGUAUUCUGGCGGGCAUGCCUGUUCGAGCGUCAUUUCAACCCUCAAGCUUAGCUUGGUGUUGGGGAUCGGCAAGGCGUCCUCCGGGUCGCGCCGUCCCCCAAAUUUAGUGGCGGUCUCGCUGUAGCUUCCUCUGCGUAGUAAUACACCUCGCUCUGGAGUCUCGGUGCGACCACGCCGUAAAACCCCCAACUUUUUCUGGUUGACCUCGAAUCAGGUAGGACUACCCGCUGAACUUAAGCAUAUCAAUAAGCGGAGGAAAAGAAACCAACAGGGAUUGCCCUAGUAACGGCGAGUGAAGCGGCAACAGCUCAAAUUUGAAAUCUGGCCCUCGGGUCCGAGUUGUAAUUUGUAGAGGAUGCUUUUGGUGAGGUGCCUUCCGAGUUCCCUGGAACGGGACGCCAUAGAGGGUGAGAGCCCCGUCUGGUUGGACACCAAACCUCUGUAAAGCUCCUUCGACGAGUCGAGUAGUUUGGGAAUGCUGCUCUAAAUGGGAGGUAUAUGUCUUCUAAAGCUAAAUACCGGCCAGAGACCGAUAGCGCACAAGUAGAGUGAUCGAAAGAUGAAAAGCACUUUGAAAAGAGAGUUAAAAAGUACGUGAAAUUGUUGAAAGGGAAGCGCUUAUGACCAGACUUGGACUUGGUUGAUCAUCCUGGGUUCUCCCUGGUGCACUCUUCCAGUUCAGGCCAGCAUCAGUUCGCUGCGGGGGAUAAAAGUUUUGGGAAUGUGGCUCCCUCGGGAGUGUUAUAGCCCAUUGCAU